AUUGAACGCUGGCGGCAGGCCUAACACAUGCAAGUCGAGCGGAUGAAGGGAGCUUGCUCCUGGAUUCAGCGGCGGACGGGUGAGUAAUGCCUAGGAAUCUGCCUGUUAGUGGGGGAUAACGUCCGGAAACGGGCGCUAAUACCGCAUACGUCCUGAGGGAGAAAGUGGGGGAUCUUCGGACCUCACGCUAUCAGAUGAGCCUAGGUCGGAUUAGCUAGUUGGUGGGGUAAAGGCCCACCAAGGCGACGAGCCGUAACUGGUCUGAGAGGAUGAUCAGUCACACUGGAACUGAGACACGGUCCAGACUCCUACGGGAGGCAGCAGUGGGGAAUAUUGGACAAUGGGCGAAAGCCUGAUCCAGCCAUGCCGCGUGUGUGAAGAAGGUCUUCGGAUUGUAAAGCACUUUAAGUUGGGAGGAAGGGCAGUAAGUUAAUACCUUGCUGUUUUGACGUUACCAACAGAAUAAGCACCGGCUAACUUCGUG
rnacentral:rRNA from 1 species